rnacentral:misc_RNA from 1 species
GGCGUUGUCCUCAUUGUAAUCAACAUGUGUGUUUCACUGAUAUUCAUAUUGAUCAAGAUAUGUUCAAGGUUUUGAAAGAGGUGAGUGAGGAUGUUACAGAUGUCAUGAUCUCUUCAGAUGGUUCAUGGAAGGCAAUCAUGGAAAGUGAUGACCAUUCUGAAAAGCCCAGGGAUAAAACCCCUGAAAUUGCUCAAGAUAGUCCACGUAGAGGUUCUGAUGGUCCUUCAAAUGCCCCUGGUGAUGUUUUAGAUCUUACUGACAUAGAUGAUGACAUGAAUCCUGCUG